GGUAACCUUGAGGGAGAUUUGUGAAAAAUUUUGGGUCUCUAAGCUCAUCAAGCCACUUUUUUGUUUGCCGAAUGCCUCGGAUGGUGAGAUUUGCCAUGGAUUCAUCGUGCAGUAAUUCCUUUAUUUACUAGUUUAUCCAGUUAGCUCUACACCUAAAAUGACUCGAGGCAACAUGUUCGGGAGAGCAAUAUGUGGUCAAUGUCGGUAGCUAACCAGGCAAAACCGGAUCGGCUGGGUUGGCUUCGGAAUUUGGGGGCACUCGUAUUUCCCUCCUGCUGGAUCAGAUCUGUAUAAGAACUCUGAUAAGAGUUUUCGCUGGCUCGGUACUGACAGAGGGCUGAGGCAGUUCCAUGCACGCUACCCACACCAACCAACCACCGAAUUUCGGAAUUCGGGGAUACGGUGCCCGAUUGAUCAAGAUCCGCGG
rnacentral:sRNA from 2 species